rnacentral:rRNA from 1 species
AUUGAACGCUGGCGGCAUGCUUUACACAUGCAAGUCGAACGGUAACAGGCCUUCGGGUGCUGACGAGUGGCGUACGGGUGAGUAAUGCAUCGGAACGUACCCAGAGGUGGGGGAUAACGCAGCCAAAGCUGUGCUAAUACCGCAUGUGAUCUGAUGAUGAAAGCGGGGGACCGCGCAGCAAUGUUUGGCCUCGCGCCUUUGGAGCGGCCGAUGUCGGAUUAGCUAGUUGGGGGGGUAAAGGCCUACCACGGCGACGAUCCGUAGCUGGUCUGAGAGGAAGACUAGCCAGACGGGGACUGAGACAGGGCCGAGACUCCUACGGGAGGCAGCAGUGGAGAAUUUUGCACGAUGGGGGCGAGCCUGAUCCAGCAAUGCCGCGUGAGGGAAGAAGGCCUUCGGGUGGGAGACCGAUUUUGGCAGGAAGGAAACGGUGUCCGCUAAUACCGGGCGCUAAUGACGGUACCUGCAGAAUAAGCACCGGCUAACUACGUG